rnacentral:rRNA from 1 species
AGGGUAUAGACCCGAAACCCGGUGAUCUAGCCAUGGGCAGGUUGAAGGUUGGGUAACACUAACUGGAGGACCGAACCGACUAAUGUUGAAAAAUUAGCGGAUGACCUGUGGCUGGGGGUGAAAGGCCAAUCAAACCGGGAGAUAGCUGGUUCUCCCCGAAAGCUAUUUAGGUAGCGCCUCGUGAAUUCAUCUCCGGGGGUAGAGCACUGUUUCGGCUAGGGGGCCAUCCCGGCUUACCAACCCGAUGCAAACUGCGAAUACCGGAGAAUGUUAUCACGGGAGACACACGGCGGGUGCUAACGUCCGUCGUGAAGAGGGAAACAACCCAGACCGCCAGCUAAGGUCCCAAAGUCAUGGUUAAGUGGGAAACGAUGUGGGAAGGCCCAGACAGCCAGGAUGUUGGCUUAGAAGCAGCCAUCAUUUAAAGAAAGCGUAAUAGCUCACUGGUCGAGUCGGCCUGCGCGGAAGAUGUAACGGGGCUAAACCAUGCACCGAAGCUGCGGCAGCGAACGUAUCACCCAAGACAACUUUACGGAGUUGACGAUUGACGGAGCGAAGCGACGUCAAAGCGUUCAUUAAAGUCGAGUUGGCUUAGGGAUACGUUCGUUGGGUAGGGGAGCGUUCUGUAAGCCUGUGAAGGUGUGUCGUGAGGCAUGCUGGAGGUAUCAGAAGUGCGAAUGCUGACAUAAGUAACGAUAAAGCGGGUGAAAAGCCCGCUCGCCGGAAGACCAAGGGUUCCUGUCCAACGUUAAUCGGGGCAGGGUGAGUCGACCCCUAAGGCGAGGCCGAAAGGCGUAGUCGAUGGGAAACGGGUUAAUAUUCCCGUACUUGGUGUUACUGCGAAGGGGGGACGGAGAAGGCUAUGUUGGCCGGGCGACGGUUGUCCCGGUUUAAGCGUGUAGGUGUGUGUUCCAGGUAAAUCCGGUUCACUUUAACACUGAGGCGUGACGACGAGGCACUACGGUGCUGAAGCAACAAAUGCCCUGCUUCCAGGAAAAGCCUCUAAGCAUCAGGUAACACGAAAUCGUACCCCAAACCGACACAGGUGGUCAGGUAGAGAAUACCAAGGCGCUUGAGAGAACUCGGGUGAAGGAACUAGGCAAAAUGGUGCCGUAACUUCGGGAGAA